UUUGGGACCUUAUUAUCUUUCAUUCCCUGAUAUCCCCACCUAUCCGAUCCCUAAUUCACUAUCCCCUCACAGCCUCCUCAAUCUCGUAUUCUUCUUCUCUUCGAUCUCCCCUCCCUGGCGACGGCGACGGCGACGGCGACGGUGAAGGAGACGGCAGCGAAGGCAACGAAGCGUCUCAUUUUCCUGUGAGCUUACAUUUUCCUGUGAGCUUAGUGUGUUUGGAGAUACUCUUUUUUCGUCACCUGUUUUAGCCUUUUGAGCAUACAAGCAUUAUUAUCACCCUUCCUGAACACAAGAAGAGGCAGUAUUGAAGUGUGUUUAGUGGAGUCUUGGAAAUUAUCUAAAAGGAAAAGAUGAUUUGAUGGCGAAGAUAAUUUGUGGAAAAAGAAGAUGAGUUGAUGUAUGUUUUGUUUAUUUUGAAAAAACUUAUAUAACUUUUCGGAGGUGUUGGAUUUGUAUUACUUUUUGGAGUAUUGGACUUGUAUAAGUUCUUGGAGUAAGAAGAAAGUUCUUGUAUAACUUUUUGAAAAAAAAUUGAUAAUCUCAGUUAGCCUCAUUGACUAUCUCUGGGGUGACCGGACUGGCCCCACGGAAGUUUCCCACCGGCCACCAGGGUAAAUCGGGAAGCGCACGCGGCAGCCAACCUAGACGCCCAGCAUCCUUUGAUUGCGUUCUCCAUUUGGAAGAAAAUUCUUGCAAAUACGCCGUAGCUGGGGAUCGAACUGUGGGUGUCUGGGUGACAACCUGGAUGUUCUACCAUGGCACCAUGCCCCGGGGACAGUUUGUAUAACUUUUUGAGAACUUUGGAAUUGUAUUAUUGUAAAAUUGAUUUCAAAUAUUAAUAGAUGUGUAUAUAUGUUAAA